GAUGAAGAACGUAGCGAAAUGCGAUAAGUAUGCGAAUUGCAGAAUUCCGUGAGUCAUCGAAUCUUUGAACGCACAUUGCGCCCUCUGGUAUUCCGGAGGGCAUGCCUGUCUGAGCGUCAUUGUCAACCCUCAAGCUCAGCUUGCUGUUGGGUCCCCGUCGUUGCUUUAACGGCGGACCCGAAAGGUAAUGGCAGAGUCCGUGAGACCCUAGACGCAGCGAGCUUCUAGCACGCGUCUGGACGUUUUUCGGGCUCGGUCUUAACUAGAUGAUAACUUCCGAUUGACCUCAGAUCAGGUAGGGAUACCCGCUGAACUUAAGCAUAUCCAUAAGCGGAGGA
rnacentral:misc_RNA from 1 species